rnacentral:lncRNA from 1 species
AAUGAUCUCUAUGCAGCGAAGGAAUUUCAUGACUUCUCUUUUUGCCAGUGGUACAUUGCCUGUGGGAGGACCAGGAGGAGAAACUUCUUACUCCAGAGACAACCAGGCCAGAGACAACUCUAUUAGCACAAAGCACAUUCCAGCACAUGCCAAGGGCUUUUUCAGUGAAUACAGGGUGGAGAGGACACAGCCUUCCCACCAGAGAGCCAGCCAACACUUCAAGAGCUUCCUCUGCCAGUUCUGUAUCAGCCAUGGGCUGUGGGCUCAGGACUUCUAAAAAAAGACGAAGACAUGAAGACAAUCAAGCAAACAAGACUGGCAGUGCCCAGCAAAAGGCUGAUGAGCUAUGAUGCAGUGUAGGAAAACUACAGAGCAAGUUUGAGUGAUGACUUUAACCAAGUCUAUCUUUGACCUUUACUCGGUCUUUCUAAUUAUUGUGAUUUUCUUUUGCUUUAUUGUGGUUUUUCAAAAUGUGUCUGCACUUUAAAAAUGCUCUCCUUGCUUCAGUAGAAAGACUCAAAACAAACAAGCAAAAAAACUAAGCCAAAAGUACAACCCCAAAGCUGGAAACUGCACAUUAGGAGUAGGAAUGGCCAAACUCUUACUCCCAGCCCUGUGUUCAGAAGGGAGGAAGCAAACAAAGGCUGUGCUUCUGUGGCACUGCCAACACAGGCAGAGGCUGUCAGUGCCCACCCAGAGCCAGGCUGCCACUGAGCCCGUGUCCCCUGGGAGCUGCUGAAGUGCUGGGCACAGCCAGGCUGCCUUACUGCAGGAAAGGGCUCAUGUUGAAGGGAAACACAAACUUCUUUCAAACCAGCAUUUCUGCAUCAGCUAUUAAAAAAAAAAAUAUAUAUAGAAAGUUUUUACUACUUUGUUCAGAGGUAAAACACAGAUGGGGACUGAAAAAGCAUUUUUGGUUUCUUUGGUGGAACAUUGCUUUAUGAUGUGAUAGCAGCACCUGCCAAAGAGGCUAUCACUUGUGUGUAGAAGUGAGCUG